GAAAUUUCCUACGAGUCCUUCACAACACUGUUGAGCUACAGGCAAACAAGCCUCGACCAGAAACGUAUCAGCACAAGACUUGGCAACUUCCAUCUGUGCCUGUCAAUCAAGGGAGCAAAGUAGCAUGGUGUAGGGUGUGUAUAACACUGUCUCUGGUGCCCGCAGAACAGAAAUCAACACAACCACAUUACUCUUCACGUCUGUGGUGAGACAUAACUCAAGGGUCUAAUCAGGACUUCAGGAACCAGAGUUGGAACAUCUGAAAACAUCAUAAUGUCUUAUGACCGGAUUCUGUCCAUCGAAAGUUUAAGUGAUGUUCCAAAUCCAUGGAAGGGGUUCACUAUGAACCGAUGCUUAGUGCUGGCCCUGGUUGUUCUGCUUGUGAGCUCAGGGGUCACUGAACUGCAUGAAGCAAUGGAUUCUUUUGUUGAGGAGUCAGGUUUGAGGUCUUUCUACGGAAGUCUGCAGGAUGGUUCAAUAUUUCAGAUUUCCAUAUGGGACAGUUUCAUGUGGUGGUGGCGAUCUGAAGAAGUUGGAGCGAUACGAAGAAGAAAAAAGCCUAUUGGCAACAAAGCAAUCCUGAAACCCAAACCUAAACAAUGAUUUGUGUGCGGCUGUUUAAAGAAAAGUGAAGAGUCAACAAAUGGAUGUCAUCAACCAUCACAGACACACAGUCUUCAAUAUACUUUGCAUUUAAUAAUAUAAAGAUACAGAACAUUACAUUAAUCAAUUUUUGUUUGUAUUGAAAAGAACACAAUUUAAUUAGUUUGGCAGGACAUUCAACUUUAUGAUACAUAUUUUAAAUCACUCCAUAAAAUCUCCCUUUUAGUAUCACUAAUUUAGAAAUGUCACCACCACAUUGUAAUAUAAUCA